rfam:Ovis aries breed Texel chromosome 9, whole genome shotgun sequence.
UCCCUGGUGGUCCAGUGGUUAGGACUCGGUACUUUCACUGCUGGAGCUCAGGUUUGAUCCCUGGUGGGGGAA